GACUAAAUAGUUUUUGACAAGCUAGCUUUAUACUUGGAGAUCGAUCCAGGCACCAUCGCAGCAGGGAGCAGAUGGAUUCAGUUUUUGCAGAUCCCUUUCACUCCUCGGCUGCAGGCACACACAUGUGAGAACGCAUACGCAUGCACAUGCAGAACCAUGACCCUGGUCUUUAUUUUAUGUCAAGUCAUCAGAUUGAAAGAGGAAAUAUCCAUUGGACAUAUUAUGGCGUCGUACAUGGGGUCGUCAGUGCCAGAGACUAUCAACCCGUUGGGCGGGUGUCAAGGUCAGGUUCAAAGUAAUCAAGAAAAGAAGCCUUAUGGGUGCCGUCAAGGGCUUCAUCGAUGCAUUAUCUUGCAUGUGAUUCUCCACUAAUAUCUCCUCUUUAAUUAACAACCCCAUGUGUUGAUAACGUUUCUUUUUCUAUUUCUGUUUGAACCUAUGGAGGCCCGGGCAUGCAGAUCGGUUCGUCCUUAGGUCAUCUAUCAAAUGAGUGUCAGGAAAUAGUUCUGAUAUUUGUUCCAGUUUCAUAGAUCAUCAGGGAAAAUUUCAAAAACAAAGGAUGCAGUUAGAGGAGCAAUAGAAAGCUCACGGUGUGGAGAGGAAUCGUUGUGACGGGAGCACCAGAUCAAGGAAUUUCUCACGAAUGUGUCUAGGCGAAGACAUAUCCAUGGCUGCAGCGGGAAUAAUCCAGCUGUUAUGGUCCUAUCUAUUUUAUAUGGUACAAACUUUUCACUUCAAUUUCCUACUGUCUGCAUUAUGCACUCAUGAGUUGUUCAACGCAUUCUUAUGAUUCUUAAAGGUCUGAAUAUUAUUCCUGGUAAUUAUAUGCAUACAACGGGUAUGCACGUUUACAGAUUUAUUAUUCUACUUUUGGGUGCAAAUAUAUUAAUUUGGGCGAGAGUGAUAUUUAGUAUGCCUUUUCUCCUACUGUUUUAUUGGUGAUAUUUCAUAAGGUGAUUAAACACAGGAUUCACUUAUUUCUCAUAAUCAUAUUUAAAAAUAAUGUGUUGUUUCUUUUAGGUGAAUAUAUAUCCUAUGAGGCUUCUCAAGGGCCGAUGGUGCUCAGUUGAUUUCUUAUAUUGAAUUGAUUUAUGUUUGACUCAAUUGGAUGCAUCCCGCAAGUGCAUGUGCAAGGCAACAGCUGGUAGCAGCACAAUUGAAAACAUACUGGGACAUAGGGCAUGGUAUACCAAAUGGAUAAAUGAUCCAUGACACCAAGCAUAUGUACGUUGCUCUUUGCCUUAUAGUUGACAUUAAAAAUGUAAGUGCAACAAUGAAGUACAUGCCGGAACCACUCUGCAAAUGGGCUUCAACCUCCACGUGACAUCAGACAAAGCAAAACAUGGUUGUGAUGUGUGCAUAAG